UGGGGAAUAUUGCACAAUGGGCGCAAGCCUGAUGCAGCCAUGCCGCGUGUGUGAAGAAGGCCUUAGGGUUGUAAAGCACUUUCAGCGAGGAGGAAGGCAUCACACUUAAUACGUGUGGUGAUUGACGUUACUCGCAGAAGAAGCACCGGCUAACUCCGUGCCAGCAGCCGCGGUAAUACGGAGGGUGCAAGCGUUAAUCGGAAUUACUGGGCGUAAAGCGCACGCAGGCGGUUUGUUAAGUCAGAUGUGAAAUCCCCGCGCUUAACGUGGGAACUGCAUUUGAAACUGGCAAGCUAGAGUCUUGUAGAGGGGGGUAGAAUUCCAGGUGUAGCGGUGAAAUGCGUAGAGAUCUGGAGGAAUACCGGUGGCGAAGGCGGCCCCCUGGACAAAGACUGACGCUCAGGUGCGAAAGCGUGGGGAGCAAACA
rnacentral:rRNA from 1 species